rnacentral:rRNA from 1 species
UACGAAGGGUGCAAGCGUUACUCGGAAUUACUGGGCGUAAAGCGUGCGUAGGUGGUUUGUUAAGUCUGUUGUGAAAGCCCCGGGCUCAACCUGGGAAUGGCAAUGGAUACUGGCAAGCUAGAGUGCGGUAGAGGGUAGUGGAAUUCCCGGUGUAGCGGUGAAAUGCGCAGAGAUCGGGAGGAACACCAAUGGCGAAAGCAGAUACCUGGACUAUUACUGACACUAAGCUGCGAAAGCUAGGGGAGCAAACAGG